UCUCAUGCCCUUUAUGUCCUGGGCUACACACGUGCUACAAUGGUUGGUACAAGAGGGAAGCUAUAUAGUGAUAUAAUGCAAAACUCCAAAGCCAAUCCCAGUUCGGAUUGUAGGCUGCAACUCGCCUACAUGAAGUCGGAGUUGCUAGUAAUCGCGGAUCAGAAUGUCGCGGUGAAUGCGUUCCCGGGUCUUGUACACACCGCCCGUCACACCAUGGGAGUUGAUAAUACCCGAAGCCUGUGACCUAAUUGAGGAGCAGUCGAAGGUAGGAUUGAUGACUGGGGUGAAGUCAGUAACAAGGUAGCCGUAUCGGAA
rnacentral:rRNA from 1 species